GCAUCUUUCACUUUGUACGACACAACGUAUUCAGAGGACACAGGUGUCUUCAGAGGACACAGGUGUCUUCAGGGGACACAGGACACAGGUGUCGUCAGGGGACACAGGUGUCUCUAGUGGACACAGGUGUCGUCAGUGGACACAGGACACAGGUGUUGUCAGGGGACACAGGUGUCUUCAGAGGACACAGGUGUGCUCUGUGUCACUCAGCUUAAGUCAGGUGUUUGUCUAAACAACAACAACUGUGACUCAGGAAACAAUGCAGAGGUCAAAAACAUCAACAGGAUCAGUUCAUGACGUCAUCGUUUCUGUAAACUUUAUUUACACUUUUUAAUACACUGGUGUUCAGUCAGAGACCACAAACACACACACACACACACACACACACACCUGCACUGAUGGGUACAGUAGUCAGGUACAGUAGUCAGGUAGCCAGGUACAGUAGUUAGGUAAAGUAGCUGGGUACAGUAGUCGGGAACAGUAGUCAGGUCUGGGUACUGUAGCUAGGUCCAGUAGUCAGGUACAGUAGUUGGGAACAGUAGUCAGGUCUGUGUACAGUAGUCAGGUACAGUGGUCGGGUACUGUAGUUGGGAACAGUAGUCAGGUCUGGGUACAGUAGUCGGGAACAGUAGUCAGGUCUGGAUACAGCAGUCAGGUACAGUAGUCGGGUACAGUAGUCGGGAACAGUAGUCAGGUCUGGGUACAGUAGUCAGGUACAGUAGUCAGUACAGUAGUCGGGAACAGUAGUCAGGUCUGGGUACAGUAGUCAGGUACAGUAGUCGGGAACAGUAGUCAGGUCUGGGUACAGCAGUCAGGUACAGUAGUCGGGUCUGGGUACAGUAGUCAGGUACAGUAGUCGUGUACAGUAAUUGGGAACAGUAGUCAGGUCUGGGUACAGUAGUCAGUUACAGUAGUUGGGAACAGUAGUCAGGUCUGGGUACAGUAGUCAGGUACAGCAGUCAGGUACAGUAGUCGGGUACAGUAGUCGGGAACAGUAGUCAGGUCUGGGUACAGUAGUCAGGUACAGUAGUCGGGUAUAGUAGUCGGGAACAGUAGUCAGGUCUGGGUACAGUAGUCAGGUACAGUAGUCGGGAACAGUAGUCAGGUCUGGGUACAGUAGUCAGGUACAGUAGUCGGGUACAGCAGUCAGGUACAGUAGUCGGGUACAGUAGUCAGGUCUGGGUACAGUAGUCAGGUACAGUAGUCAGGUACAGCAGUCGGGUACAGUAGUCGGGUACAGUAGUCGGGAACAGUAGUCAGGUCUGGGUACAGUAGUCAGGUACAGCAGUCGGGUACAGUAGUCGGGUACAGUAGUCGGGAACAGUAGUCAGGUCUGGGUACAGUAGUCAGGUACAGUAGUCGGGUACAGUAGUCGGGAAUAGCAGUCAGGUCUGGGAACAGUAGUCAGGUCUAGGUACAGCAGUCAGGUACAGUAGUCGGGUACAGUAGUCAGGUCUGGGUACAGUAGUCAGGUACAGUAGUCGGUACAGUAGUCGGGAACAGUAGUCAGGUCUGGGUACAGUAGUCAGGUACAGUAGUCGGGUACAGUAGUCAGGUCUGGGAACAGUAGUCAAGUCUGGGUACAGUAGUCAGGUACUAGUGUUGUCACGGUACCAAAAUUGGGACCCACGGUACAAUACCAGUGAAAGUAUCACGGUUCUGAGUAGUAUCACAAUACCACAGCAAAAAUUAGGAAGAUGUGCCUUUUGUCAUUUAUAAAAAGAUAAAUCACUUUUCUAUAAUACAUCAAUGAUAUUUCAAUAGAAUAAAUUACUUAUUGACUUAUUCAUACUUCAAAAACAGCAUCAAUAACUGAUUAACAUAGAGGGGAUCAGAAUAAAAUAAAUAAAUAAAAUAAAAAUCAACCAGCCACCCUCCUUCUCUGACAAGUUAAGAACAGUCCCUUAAGUGCGGUGAGGUUUGUGGACCGUUACCUGCCACAAAGAGAGAAAUGUGAACGACUCGUCUCUCCUCUGACACGUCACAUACCUGUGUGCCGCCACGGCUCAGCUGUUCAGGUACUUAUGACACAAUUUCCAAGAGGAAAUUAUUGGACCUGGAGCCUGGCUCCUUGGUCGCUGGUAAGCCGUUAUUUUGCGAUGGCCAUAGCGCUCCGCCGUAUUCCUGUCUGUGACCCCCGUUCAACCCACAACCGGCAGGAUUCGCCUUUCGUUUCUGCUGCUGGUUGAAAUCUGUACUCGCACAGCGUGCUGAAUGAUUUAUUUUGCUCGCACAAAAAUAUUUUUAGUCACAAAUGCAAGUAAAAUGCUCGCACCAUAGAGCUCUGUGGAAAACAAAUCACUGUAGCAUAUAUAAACAAAUCUAGCCUACAAGUAAAAAGAAAAAAAUAAUAACUUUCACUGCUUAAAGAUACUCAAUAGCUCAGCUAAUACCUGAAAUGUCACUGGAAAACAAACCACUGCAGCAGCAUAUUGAGUGCCAGGUGGCCAGCGUGUGCCGCUAUUGGACGGCGCAUGGACACUCACAUGGACUCUACAGUAGUCGGGUACAGUAGUUGAGUACAGUAGUCAGGUACAGUAGCUGGGUACAGUAGUCAGGUAUAGUAGUCAGGUCUGGGUAUAGUAGUCAGGUACAGUAGUUGGGUACAGUAGUCAGGUCUGGGUAUAGUAGUCAGGUACAGUAGUUAGGUCUGGGUACAGUAGUCAGGUCUGGGUAUAGUAGUCAGCUACAGUAGUCGGGUACAGUAGCCGGGUACAGUAGCUUAGUACAAUAGUCAGGUCUGGGUUUGUAGUCAGCUACAGUAGUCGGGUACAGUAGUCAGGUCUGGGUAUAGUAGUCAGCUACAGUAGUCGGGUACAGUAGCUGGGUACAGUAGCUUAGUACAAUAGUCAGGUCUGGGUACAGUAGUCAGCUACAGUAGUCGGGUACAGUAGUCAGGUCUGGGUAUAGUAGUCAGCUACAGUAGUCGGAUACAGUAGUCAGGUCUGGGUAUAGUAGUCAGCUACAGUGGUCGGGUACAGUAGCUGGGUACAGUAGUCAGGUCUGGGUAUAGUAGUCAGCUACAGUAGUCGGAUACAGUAGUCAAGUCUGGGUACAGUGGUCGGGUACAGUGGUCGGGUACAGUAGCUGGGUAUAGUAGUCAGCUACAGUGGUCGGGUACAGUGGUCGGGUACAGUAGCUGGGUACAGUAGUCGGGUACAGUAGUCAGGUACAAUAGUUGGUGUGUGUUGUAGUCAUGAUAAAAAUCUAAAGGUGAGUCUGAGUGUCCAUCUUUGUUUUUUCUGCUUAAUCCUGCCUCUAACCAGUUUCUUCUUCUCCCCCUCCUCCUCCUCCUCCUCCUUCUUCUUCUUCUUCUUCUUCUUCUUCUUCUUCUUCUUCUUCUUCUUCUUCUCCUCCUCCUCCUCCUCCUCCUCCUCCUCCUUCUUCUUCUUCUUCUUCUUCUUCUUCUUCUUCGUCGUCUUCGUCUUCGUCUCCUCCUCCUCCUCCUCCUUCUUCUUCUCCUCUUUCUCCUCCUCCUUCUUCUUCCUGUGUUUGUGUCAC